CCCCCCUGUUUGUUAUUUAAUAAAGACUACUGCUUCUAAAAACCAUGCACAUCACAUGAAAAAAAAAGAAAACUGGCAGGGAAGUGGACAUGGAGAUGGGGAGAGGAGAACCAGAACCAGAACCAGGCCACCAUGUCGGUUACUUUACAUUUCCACUGCUUCACCAACACAGUUCACACCCCAGCCAGUCAGCGGAGUUCAGAGUUCAGGCGGUGUACGUGUGUCCUAUUCCUGACCUUAACCCCCGUUCUCUGACCUUACAGAGGGAUCUGACUCAGGACCACAGGUCUCCUCUGUUCUACUGAACGCAUAAGAAACUAACUGAAACCGAUAGGGUGUUGGUGAAAGUAAAGGAAAAUAUAUUUAUAUAUAUAUAUAUAUAUAUAUUCAUAUUUAUACGUUCAACAUGGCAAAUACAAUAAUUCCCCAUAGCUGUAUGAGUUUUGAAGUAAAGCUCAAUAUAGACUUUUUAUUAUAACAAAAUAGGCAGUAGACUGAGGGUUAAAUAUACGUUAAAAUCUCAGUGUACAAUAAAUUCUUUCGGUUUUUCUCUUCCUUCUUACUACUACUAAUACACCUGGAGUCAGUUUAAAAACAGCCUUUCAUUUACUCUAUUCCCGUUCAGGAAAUUAACCUGAAAGCUGAAUGGACAAAGAACAGAAUCAAAUCAUCAGGGAUCGUAAAGUCAGUGAUAAGAAACAGCCUCGUGUGUGUGUGUGUGUGUGUCAGAGUGAAGUCCACUCAGCACCCUCUAACCUUAGUUCCCUCUGUGCAGUUUGAAUAGUAUGUAUGGCUGUCACGUGAGCAGAGACAAAGGACGACUACAGAACAUGACGAGGUAAAACACAACGAAGGAAUGAUCAGAACACUAUGAAACAUGCUCUUUUAAAGCUAUAACGUGCAAAGUUUAGCCUCAUGUCAUUUCCUUUACGAACCCCAGACAUGAAUGCAUUUCCUUUACGAACCCCAGACAUGAAUGCAUUUCCUUUACGAACCCCAGACAUGAAUGCAUUUCCUUUACGAACCCCAGACAUGAAUGCAUUUCCUUUACGAACCCCAGACAUGAAUGCAUUUCCUUUCAAUAAUAUGAAGAAAAAAAAAAAAAGUACAAGAAAUGAUUUAUUAUUUGUAUAUAUAUGCAUCUAAAUCAUGUUCCUUAAACAUUAAGGACUUGUACCAUAAAAAUCUCCCCAUAAGACGCUGGUUGCCAAAGCCCGUACCUCCAUAGCAGGAAAAACACCCAGAUACAAGGACAGCCCAAGAAAACACCAGAGAGAGCGAGAGAGAGAAGAGAGAGAGAAGAGAGCGAGAGAGAGAGAGAAGAGAGCGAGAGAGAGCGAGAGAGAGAGCGAAAGCGAGAGCGAAUGAGAGAGCGUGAGAGAGAGCGAGCGAGAAAGUGAGAGCGCGAGCGAGAGAGUGAUAGAGAAAGCAUUAAAGAAUUGUGUGUGUGUGUGUGUGUGUGUGUGGGUCUAUGCGUGAUCAGAUCCCCAGACACUAAUGUAACGACACCAGCCAGUGUGACAGAGGGGAGCAGGGCGGCGCGGGGGGGGGUAUAAGUGAAAGGGGGGGGUCCUAUGUUCAGGGCAUAAAAUUAGACGUAAAAUCAAAGAAGAGAACGAGGACGGCAGAAAGAAAAAGGUAAUCUCUUCUGUUUCUCUUCUCCUUCACAACUUGUCCUUGGCAGGCACCCAGAUGAAGGGUCCUGACUGCUCCUCGAUGAUCCUCUUCACUGUGUUAUAAAUCUCCUCCAGAGAGUCCCCCUGGACGAUAGCUGCAACGACACACAUGUAAAACAUACUAAAUAUAUUUAUAUAGUAUAGCUGGGACAGGCUUUUACUGUAUUUUGCCAAUUAGUUAAUUCAGGGAACUGAGACAACUACUUAAUGCUGAAGAGGUUGAGACUGUAGUGAUGGGGAGGGGGGGCUGGACUCACCAGUGAAGUGCUCGGUGAACUCCUGCUCCAGCUUCAUGGCUCGGUCGAACGUCUUCCUCCCCUGGUCCUCUGUUAGCCUCUUAUUCAUCUCCCUAGAGAGAGAGAGAGAGAGAUA
rnacentral:lncRNA from 13 species